CUGCUGCCUUCCGUAGGAGUCUGGUCCGUGUCUCAGUACCAGUGUGGGGGACCUUCCUCUCAGAACCCCUAGACAUCGUCGCCUUGGUGGGCCGUUACCCCGCCAACUAGCUAAUGUCACGCAUGCCCAUCCGUCUCCGGAGUCGCCUCCUUUGGCCGAAAGAAGAUGCCUCCCCUCGGCCACAUGCGGUAUUAGGCCGGAUUUCUCCGGGUUAUCCCGCUGAAACCGGGCAGGUUGCAUACGCGUUACUCACCCGUGCGCCGGUCGCCGG
rnacentral:rRNA from 1 species